rnacentral:rRNA from 1 species
AUGACCGCUGGCGGCGUGCUUAACACAUGCAAGUCGUGCGCGAAGGUGGCUUCGGCCACCGGAGAGCGGCGAACGGGUGAGAACACGUGGGUAAUCUGCCUGGGAGCGGGGGAUAACCUGGGGAAACUCGGGCUAAUACCGCAUACCGGUGUUUGGGAUACGUCCUGGACAAGAAAGCUGGCCUCUAUUUAUAAGCUAGCACUCCCAGAGGAGCCCGCGGCUGAUUAGUAGUUGGUGAGUAACGGCUCACCAAGGCGACGAUCAGUAAGCCGGCCUGAGAGGGUGAUCAAGUCCAACCACUGGGACUGAGACACGGCCCAGACUCCUACGGGAUGGCAGCAGUGGGGAAUAUUGGACAAAUGGGCGCAGGCCUGAUCCAGCAACGCCGCGUGGAGGAUGAAGUCUUCGGAUCGUAAACUCCUGUCAGAUGGGACGAAGGCAAACAGGUGAACAAUCCUGUUGUUUGACGGUACCGUCAGAGGAAGCCCCGGCUAACUCCGUGCCAGCAGCCGCGGUAAUACGGAGGGGGCGAGCGUUUAUUCGGAAUUAUGGGCGUAAAGGGCGCGUAGGCGGCGCGAAUAAGUCAAAGGUGAAAUCCCUCGGCUCAACUAGAGGAACUGCCUUGAAACUGUCGUGCUUGAGGCCGGGAGGGGGUAGCGGAAUUCCCAGUGUAGCGGUGAAAUGCGUAGAUAUUGGGAGGAACACCAGUGGCGAAGGCGGCUACCUGGACCGGUUCUGACGCUGAUGCGCGAAAGCGUGGGUAGCAAACAGGAUUAGAUACCCUGUAGUCCACGCUGUAAACGAUGGGUGCUCGGUGUCGUGGGUAUCGACCCCUACGGUGCCUUAGCUAACGCGUUAAGCCACCCCGCCUGGGGAGUACGGUCGCAAUGCUGAAAACUCAAAGGAAUUGACGGGGGCCCGCACAAGCGGUGGAGCAUGUUGGUUUAAUUCGAUGCAACGCGAAGAACCUUACCUGGGCUUGAACUGUGGUGGACGGAGCUGGAAACAGUUCUUCCCUUUCGGGGGCGCCAUAGAGGUGCUGCAUGGCUGUCGUCAGCUCGUGUCGUGAGAUGUGGGUUAAGUCCCGCAACGAGCGCAAACCCCUAUACCCUAGUUGCCAACGGGUCAAGCCGGGAACUCUAGGGAGACUGCCCGGAAAUCGGGAGGAACGGUGGGGAUGACGUCAAGUCCUCACGGCCUUUAUGUCCAGGGCUACACACGUGCUACAUAUGGGCGGGUACAAAGGGUUGCGAAGUCGCGAGGCAGAUGCUAAUCCCAGAAAACCGUCCUCAGUACGGAUUGCAGUCUGCAACUCGACUGCAUGAAGCUGGAAUCGCUAGUAAUCCCAGAUCAGCACGCUGGGGUGAAUACGUUCCGGGCCUUGUACACACCGCCCGUCACAUCACGAAAGUUAGUUGUACCGGAAGCCGGUGCGCCAACCUCGGAGGCAAGCCGUCCAUGUUAUGACUAGCGAUUGGGGUG